UACCGGCAGUCCAAGUUGCAGCCAUCAUUAUUGGGUCUAAAACAUCCGUAGCUUGUUUGAAAAGUUUUUUGUGAAAUUCCGCGUCUCAAGCGUGGAGCGCGCAAAAAAUACUUUCAGACUAGAGACCGGGAGAUGCAAGGAGUACAUCAAAGGUAGUGGUAAAAUACUUUAAUCUUCGAUGGACUAACAAUCGCGAAGGCACCUUGCAAGAACGGAUCUGACAGUGAGGGAUGAAGGCCAGGGGCGCAAAACGG
rnacentral:rRNA from 1 species